GCUGGCGGCGCUGCAGUUCCAAGCUGAGCUCUGAGACGAGUGAAAGAAACAAAAAAAAAUCCAACAUAAAUGAGAGGAGUAGAGGACGCUGAUCAUAUCAGAGACAUCUGAUUCUGCAAACAUGUUCAGAGGGCUGAAGAAUGGAGUUAAGUUAGUCUGAUGACAUAAAACAAAUGAACGUGCUUUCGUUGUUUGUUUUGUAAAUGAUACUGUAAGGUGCUUCGUUGUUAAUGUUACACAAAAUGCAUGUAAAAGGAUCGUAGGCUGCCUCGCGUUUUAAAAUUGACGCAAGAAAGAACUUUUGGUUGCUGUGUUAAGUUAUGCAUCAGUGAUGUGAGAAACAACAAGAAAGAGCAUAAAGAAACAAUUAUGAACGACCGCGUGACAAUGUCAUAAUGGUUUUCGACUGGUUCCAUCAGAGAAAUUGCAUGUAUGCAGGCCAUGUGGAAGAGUAUACAAGCAGAGAUACACACUGAACAGGCAUCUGCGAUAUGAAUGUGGAUUUUCGAAGAAACAGUUCCAUUGUCCAAUUUGCCAGAAACAAUUUAAUCGUCCAGAAUGUGCCCGUGCUCAUCACUACAAAUACCAUUUCUCUCACCAUUAAGAGCUUAUCCUAAAGUGCAUGUGCUUUUUUUAGAAGUAUUUUCUCCUUCUUUUACAUGGCGUUACAUUUGUGUCGUGUGUGUGUGUGUGUGUGUGUGUGUGUGUGUGUGUGUGUAGGGGGGGGGGGGGUGUAAUAAUUUGAAAGGAAGGUACUUAGACUUAACUCAAAAUUUCAUAAUGAGACAAAAAACUUUGUAUUUGGUGUGAUGCAGGUUUCAGACUGGAGCCACCAGAGGAGAUCCAUGAAUGUAAAAUGUGUGGCAGAGUGUACAAGAAACGCUACACCCUCAACAGGCACAUACGAUAUGAAUGUGGAUUUUCCAGGAGACAGUUCCACUGUCCAGUUUGUGGCAAACAGUUCAAUCGUCCUGAUCACUAUCGUACACAUUUGGUGGUUCAUGAAGUAAAGCCAUUUAAUGGAACGAGGUUAAAAACACCAUUUAUAUUGUAAAGAGACUUAAUCAUGUACUGAGAGUUUAAGGCUACAUUUUAAUUAUGUAUAACAAUCAGUGGUAACAAAUUGAAAUGCUGAUGAAAGCAUAUAGUGUUUUUAUGUUUAACAGGAAAAAAAUACUUGUAAUAUAGUAAGUGUUGUAACUAUUGUUAGUAUUUGGCUUUUAUAAACUUUGUGCCUUAUUUUAUCAGGCUUUACAAUAAAGAAUACUGAAAUAUGUACAAUACUAAAAGUAUUUAUUGUACAUUCUUGAA